CGUAGGUGGCAAGCGUUGUCCGGAUUUAUUGGGUUUAAAGGGUGCGUAGGCGGCCUUGUAAGUCAGUGGUGAAAUACGGCAGCUUAACUGUCGAGGUGCCAUUGAUACUGCAGGACUUGAGUACAGACGAGGUAGGCGGAAUUGACGGUGUAGCGGUGAAAUGCUUAGAUAUCGUCAAGAACACCGAUAGCGAAGGCAGCUUACUAGACUGUAACUGACGCUGAUGCACGAAAGUGUGGGGAUCAAACAGGAUUAGAUACCCUGGUAGUCCACACUGUAAACGAUGAUUACUCGAUGUUGGCGAUACACAGCCAGCGUCUUAGCGAAAGCGAUAAGUAAUCCACCUGGGGAGUACGCCGGCAACGGUG
rnacentral:rRNA from 1 species